GAUGAACGCUGGCGGCGUGCCUCAAACAUGCAAGUCGAGCGAGGCUAUGAGUUACCGCAAGGUAAGGCAUAGCCUAGCGGCGAACGGGUGAGUAACACGUGGGUAACCUACCUGGAAGACAGGGAUAACGAUUCGAAAGGGUCGCUAAUACCUGAUAAUAUCCAUCUGCCGGAUGGCGGAGGGAAGAAAGGGGAAACCCGCUUUCAGAUGGGCCCGCGUCCCAUCAGCUAGUUGGUAAGGUAAAGGCUUACCAAGGCGACGACGGGUAGCCGGUCUGAGAGGAUGUACGGCCACACUGGGACUGAGAUACGGCCCAGACUCCUACGGGAGGCAGCAGUUGGGAAUCUUAGGCAAUGGACGAAAGUCUGACCUAGCGACGCCGCGUGAGGGAAGAAGGCCUUCGGUUGUAACUCUGUCAUGGGGAAGAAGGAAGUGACGGUACCCAACGAGGAAGCCCUGCUAACUACGUGCCAGCAGCCGCGGUAACUGCUACGUAGA
rnacentral:rRNA from 1 species